rnacentral:rRNA from 1 species
UACGAAGGGGGCUAGCGUUGCUCGGAAUCACUGGGCGUAAAGGGUGCGUAGGCGGGUCUUUUAAGUCAGGGGUGAAAUCCUGGAGCUCAACUCCAGAACUGCCCUUGAUACUGAAGGUCUUGAGUUCGGGAGAGGUGAGUGGAACUGCGAGUGUAGAGGUGAAAUUCGUAGAUAUUCGCAAGAACACCAGUGGCGAAGGCGGCUCACUGGCCCGAUACUGACGCUGAUGCACGAAAGCGUGGGGAGCAAACAGG